GACGAACGCUGGCGGCGUGCCUAAUACAUGCAAGUCGAGCGCAGGAAAUCGACGGAACCCUUCGGGGGGAAGUCGACGGAAUGAGCGGCGGACGGGUGAGUAACACGUAAAGAACCUGCCCUCAGGUCUGGGAUAACCACGAGAAAUCGGGGCUAAUACCGGAUGGGUCAUCGGACCGCAUGGUCCGAGGAUGAAAGGCGCUUCGGCGUCGCCUGGGGAUGGCUUUGCGGUGCAUUAGCUAGUUGGUGGGGUAAUGGCCCACCAAGGCGACGAUGCAUGGCCGACCUGAGAGGGUGAGCGGCCACACUGGGACUGAGACACGGCCCAGACUCCUACGGGAGGCAGCAGUAGGGAAUCUUCCACAAUGGACGAAAGUCUGAUGGAGCAACGCCGCGUGAACGAUGAAGGCCUUCGGGUCGUAAAGUUCUGUUGUAAGGGAAGAACAAGUGCCGCAGGCAAUGGCGGCACCUUGACGGUACCUUGCGAGAAAGCCACGGCUAACUACGUGCCAGCAGCCGCCGUAAAAC
rnacentral:rRNA from 1 species